rnacentral:rRNA from 1 species
UACGAAGGGGGCUAGCGUUGCUCGGAAUCACUGGGCGUAAAGCGCACGUAGGCGGCUCUUUAAGUCAGGGGUGAAAUCCUGGAGCUCAACUCCAGAACUGCCUUUGAUACUGGGGAUCUCGAGUCCGGAAGAGGUGAGUGGAACUCCGAGUGUAGAGGUGAAAUUCGUAGAUAUUCGGAAGAACACCAGUGGCGAAGGCGGCUCACUGGUCCGGUACUGACGCUGAGGUGCGAAAGCGUGGGGAGCAAACAGG